AUGAAUGCCCGUCAGCCCCAUCUUUUUCGCCGCUGCGCAGGCGCACCACAUGAGGCGCUUAGGCCCGUGAGGCGCAGUACGCAGCAGGAAGCCGAGCCGCUUGCCCCUGUUCGGGGGCAGCGGCUUUUUUC
rnacentral:sRNA from 17 species